UUAAGCUCACCACCACAUGUUUUAUGUCUUUCAUAAUCAAGAAGUGCCUUCUCAUAAAACCCUCGAAAUGUCCAUGAAACAGUAGUACAUGUCUUUGGGGGUUUAAAGGAUUCUCCCACUUGCCGCCACAACUUACAUGAAGUCACCUUAUCAUAGCCACCCAAUCUCAUAACAGCUCUCCACAACUUCAGACAAUUUAAUCCCUCUCCGUAGAACUUAGGAGGCUUGAACUCCAUGCUCCUCUCCCUAAAGAAAUUUUCAAGCUCCUUCAUAAAUG
rnacentral:misc_RNA from 1 species